rnacentral:rRNA from 1 species
UACGUAGGGUGCGAGCGUUGUCCGGAUUUAUUGGGCGUAAAGAGCUCGUAGGCGGUCUGUCGCGUCGAUUGUGAAAACUCGGGGGCUUUAACCCCCGAGCCUGCUUCUGAUACGGGGCAGACUAGAGGUAUGCAGGGGAGAACGGAAUUCCUGGUGUAGCGGUGAAAUGCGUAGAUAUCAGGAGGAUACCGAUGGCGAAGGCAGGUCUCUGGGCUGACACUGACGCUCGAUGCACGAAAGCGUGGGGAGCAACAGG